AUCGAACACGGAGAUAGCUGGUUCUCCCCGAAAUAGCUUUAGGGCUAGCCUGAGGUAGUAAGUAUAGGCGGUAGAGCACUGAUCGGGCUAGGGGCCGUAAAGGUUACCGAACCCUGUCAAACUCCGAAUGGAUAUACUGUAGAGCCUUGGAGUCAGACUACGAGUGAUAAGAUCCGUGGUCAAAAGGGAAACAGCCCAGACCACCAGCUAAGGUCCCCAAUGUCGUACUAAGUGGAAAAGGAUGUGGGGUUUCAUAAACAACCAGGAUGUUGGCUCAGAAGCAGCCACCAUUUAAAGAGUGCGUAAUAGCUCACUGGUCGAGAGACCCUGCGCCGAAGAUUCCCGGGGCUAAAGUACGAAACCGAAGCUGUGGCUGUAUACGUAAAGUAUACGGGGUAGGGGAGCGUUCCCAUAGGGUAGAAGUCGAACUGGAAGGUUCGGUGGACUUGUGGGAAGUGAGAAUGUUGGUAUGAGUAGCGAAAAGAAAGGUGAGAAUCCUUUCCACCGAAAGCAUAAGGAUUCCUGAGCAACGAUCGUCGUCUCAGGGUAAGUCGGGACCUAAUCCGAGGCAGAGAGCGUAGGAGAUGGACAACUGGUUGAUAUUCCAGUACCGGUAGUAAUUGUUUGAGCAAUGGAGUGACACAGAAGGGCAGGCAAGCAUGCGAAUGGAAGAGCAUGUGUAAGCGUGUAGGGUGGUGCAUAGGCAAAUCCGUGCACUGAAAGCCUGAGGCGUGAUGCGGAGUGAGCAGAGAUGCGAGCGAAGUUGUUGACCCCACACUGUCGAGAAAAGCUUCUAGUGAGAGAGCUACCGCCCGUACCGUAAACCGACACAGGUAUGCGGGGAGAGAAUCCUAAGGUGCGCGGGAGAACCCUCGUUAAGGAACUCGGCAAAAUGUACCCGUAACUUCGGGAUAAGGGUAGCCACUGUUGUGAAGUCCCAUGCGGAUGGAGCAUAGAGUGGUCGCAGAGAAGAGGCCCAAGCGACUGUUUACCAUAAACACAGGUGCCUGCUAAAGCGAAAGCUGACGUAUAGGUGCUGACACCUGCCCAGUGCCGGAAGGUUAAGGAAGGAUGUUCGGAUUAGUCCAAAGCAUUCGACUGAAGCCCCGGUGAACGGCGGCCGUAACUAUAACGGUCCUAAGGUAGCGAAAUUCCUUGUCGGGUAAGUUCCGACCCGCACGAAAGGUGUAACGAUUUGGGCACUGUCUCAACGAGGGACCCGGUGAAAUUGAAAUACCUGUGAAGAUGCAGGUUACCCGCGACUGGACAGAAAGACCCCAUGGAGCUUUACUGUAACCUGACAUUGGGUUUUGAUACAUUACGUACAGGAUAGGUGGGAGGCUUGGAAAGCUGGACGCUAGUCUGGCUGGAGCCGACGUUGGGAUACCACCCUUGAUGUAUUGAAAUUCUAACCGCGAGAGUAACGAAAUCCGGGACAGUGUCAGGCGGGCAGUUUGACUGGGGCGGUCGCCUCCGAAAGAGUAACGGAGGCGCCCAAAGGUUCCCUCAGCGCGGCCGGAAAUCGCGCGAAGAGUGUAAAGGCAGAAGGGAGCUUGACUGCGAGUCAAACACGACGAGCAGGUACGAAAGUAGGGCUUAGUGAUCCGGUGGUACCGAGUGGAAGGGCCAUCGCUCAACGGAUAAAAGCUACCCUGGGGAUAACAGGCUAAUCUCUCCCAAGAGUCCAUAUCGACGGGGAGGUUUGGCACCUCGAUGUCGGCUCAUCACAUCCUGGGGCUGAAGUCGGUCCCAAGGGUUGGGCUGUUCGCCCAUUAAAGUGGUACGUGAGCUGGGUUCAGAACGUCGUGAGACAGUUCGGUCCCUAUCCAUCGCGGGCGCAAGAGAUUUGAAGGGGGCUGCUCCUAGUACGAGAGGACCGGAGUGGACGAACCGCUGGUGUACCAAUUAUCCCGCCAGGGGUACAGUUGGGUAGCUACGUUCGGAAAGGAUAAACGCUGAAAGCAUCUAAGCGUGAAACCAGCCUUAAGAUGAGAUCUCUCAUAGAGCAAUCUAGUAAGACACCUUAAAGAAGAUGAGGUUGAUAGGUCGGGAGUGUAAGUACAGCAAUGUAUUGAGCGGACCGAUACUAAUAUGUCGAGGGCUUGACUUA
rnacentral:rRNA from 1 species